GACAGAGGGGGCAAGCGUUGCUCGGAAUCACUGGGCGUAAAGGGCGCGUAGGCGGGAUGGCAAGUCGGUCGUGAAAUCCUUCGGCUCAACCGAAGAACGUCGGCCGAUACUGCCGUUCUUGAGGGAUGCAGAGGAGAUUGGAAUUCCCGGUGUAGCGGUGAAAUGUGUAGAGAUCGGGAGGAACACCGGUGGCGAAGGCGGCAUCCUGGACCAACACUGACACUGAGGAGCGAAAGCCAGGGGAGCAAACGGG
rnacentral:rRNA from 1 species